rnacentral:rRNA from 1 species
GAUGAACGCUGACAGAAUGCUUAACACAUGCAAGUCGAUGGGGAAGUGGUGCUUGCGCCAUGGUAACCAUGGCGGACGGGUGAGUAACACGUAAGGAACUUGCCUGCGGGACUGGGAUAACAGCAGGAAACUGCUGAUAAUACCGGAUAAGGUCAUUAAGCUGCAUAGCUUAGAGAUGAAAGGAGACGCCUGCGGAGAGCCUUGCGUCCUAUUAGCUAGUUGGAGGGGGUAACGGCCCACCAAGGCGAAGAUAGGUAGCCGGCCUGAGAGGGUGGACGGCCACAAGGGGACUGAGAUACGGCCCUUACUCCUACGCGAGGCAGCAGUGGGGAAUAUUGGACAAUGGGGGCAACCCUGAUCCAGCAAUUCUGUGUGCACGAAGACGGUUUUCGGAUUGUAAAGUGCUUUCAGCAGGGAAGAAGGAAGUGACGCUACCUGCAGAAGAAGCGACGGCUAAAUACGUGCCAGCAGCCGCGGUAAUACGUAUGUCGCGAGCGUUAUCCGGAAUUAUUGGGCAUAAAGGGCAUCUAGGCGGCUUUCAAGUCAGGGGUGAAAACCUGCGGCUCAACCGCAGGCCUGCCUUUGAAACUGAUAGGCUGGAGUACCGGAGAGGUGGACGGAACUGCACGAGAGAGAUGAAAUUCGUGGAUAUGUGCAGGAAUGCCGAUGAUGAAGAUAGUUCACUGGACGUACUCGACGCUGAAGUGCGAAAGCCGGGGAGCCAACAGGAUUUAGAUACCCUUGUAGUCCAAGGCGAAUUCACAUUGGGCCUGCAGCCCGGGGUAUCCACUAGUUCUGAGGGGCCCACCGGGGGGGCUCCAUCGCCUGACUGGGAAAAGACAUAGGGGCGCCACCUAUCGCUAUUUAGAAAGCGCGCUACUGCGACAAGCUGUGCGUUACAAGAGAUUAAUCGCCUUGAAUAAAUUCUCAUUUCCUACUAGAAAAUAGCG